rnacentral:rRNA from 1 species
UGCGACCUCAGAGCAGGUGAGACUACCC